rnacentral:rRNA from 1 species
UACGUAGGGUGCAAGCGUUGUCCGGAAUUAUUGGGCGUAAAGGGUGCGUAGGCGGUUGUUUUAAGUCUGUCGUGAAAUCCCCGGGCUCAACCUGGGAAUGGCGAUGGAUACUGGACAGCUAGAGUGUGUCAGAGGAUGGUGGAAUUCCCGGUGUAGCGGUGAAAUGCGCAGAUAUCAGGAGGAACACCAACGGCGAAGGCAGCACUCUGGGCCGGUACUGACGCUGAGGAGCGAAAGCGUGGGGAGCGAACAGG